AUAGCAGGGAUCGAAAACUGUCUAGUAAUCGCUCUUUCUUGAAGCAGGCUGUGUCUAGGUUUCUUGUGUGGCAGUCGGGUGUGUGAGAGCAGCCCCUCCACCGGCUGGUCCUGCUACCACAGACUCACUUGCAGUUGGAGCCCUAGAACUCCUGCAUGGCUGGACUCAGAGGGCUGGAGAUCUUCCAGUACUUAACUGAAUCUAGGGAGGACACGGUUUUUAAAUUUCUAAAUCAAAGAACUCUUUUGGCCUGGCUUCCUAGAGGUACCCUGUCCUUCAGCUGGGGACCUUCUCUCUAGGGCUCAUGCUCACUGACCAGCCUCUCCUUACAACUGAAGACUUUUGCAGGACACUCUUCCUAGCUGUUGCCUUCGUGUUGAGUCCCGGUGUCUGAGCGUUUCCUCCUGACUGCUGUACUUGAGCAAUCACCUGGCACAGGGAGUUAAAUACCUGUGCAUCCCAGCAGCGGAUUCACCAUCUCAAAACCUGACAAGACAUUUCAAAGAAAGUAUUAAAUUCAUUCACGAGUGCCGGCUCCGUGGUGAGA
rnacentral:sRNA from 1 species